rnacentral:rRNA from 1 species
AUGCACUUUACUGGUCAUGCGAACGAUUACAUUUUAAAGUUUGAUUUGGAAAGUCAGAGGCUAGCUUUGAUUGAAGCUCCUCGCACUAUAAAUGAUGCCCGCCUCUGCUUUGACAUGCGUGAGAUCAUCCAGGUGGUGGAUGGUAUUGUUGUUCUCGCCAUACUGUCUCACUAUUACCAUAACAUUCAAAUGUGGCGAAGGGAGGUCAAUUGCCAGGGUGUUGCCAAAUGGGUGCUCUGGAAGACCAUUGAUAUGCAUAACAUUCAUGGAAUCCCCCCCGGGGUUGAAGACUUGUUAUGUAGACUGAGAUAUGCUGAGGAUACUGAUGAUAUAUUUCUCCAUGUGGGCACCAGUGUGUAUGUGGUUCAACUUAAGUUGAUGCAAUCUAAGAAACUUUUCGAAGCCCAUUAUGUUAAUCGCUAUUAUUCUUUCAAGAGUUUCUAUAUGCCAGGUGAUUUUUCUCCAUUAGUCCCCAUACCAUAG